AAGAAGGCUGGCAUUGAAGCUGCUAACUUUAAUUCGGGGGUUUAAUUCCUCCCCUUCUUU
rnacentral:tRNA from 1 species